CCUACGGGAGGCAGCAGUGAGGAAUAUUUGUCAAUGGGAGCGAGCCUGAACCAGCCAAGUAGCGUGAAGGAUGACUGCCCUACGGGUUGUAAACUUCUUUUAUAAAGGAAUAAAGUGAGGCAAGUGAUCCUUUUUGUAUGUACUUUAUGAAUAAGGAACGUCUAACUCCGUGCCAGCACCCAGGGUAAUACGGAGGAUCCGAGCGUUAUGCGGAUUUAUUGGGGUUAAAGGGAGCGUAGAUGGGUUGUUAAGUCAGUUGUGAAAGUUUGCGGCUCAACAGUAAAAUUGCAAUGGAUACUGGCAGCCUUGAGUACAGUUGAGGUAGGCGGAAUUCGUGGUGUAGCGGUGAAAUGCGUAGAUAUCACGAAGAACUCCGAUUGCGUAGGCAGCUUACUAAACUGCCACUGACAUUGAUGCUCGAAAGUGUAGGUAUCAAACAGGAUUAGAUACCCCAGUAGUC
rnacentral:rRNA from 1 species